rnacentral:rRNA from 1 species
CCUACGGGAGGCAGCAGUGAGGAAUAUUGGUCAAUGGACGCGAGUCUGAACCAGCCAAGUAGCGUGAAGGAUGACUGCCCUAUGGGUUGUAAACUUCUUUUAUAUGGGAAUAAAAUGUACCAUGUGUGCGUUUUUGUAUGUACCCUAUGAAUAAGAAUCGGCUAACUCCGUGCCAGCAGCCGCGGUAAUACGGAGGAUCCGAGCGUUAUCCGGAUUUAUUGGGUUUAAAGGGAGCGUAGGUGGAUUGUUAAGUCAGUUGUGAAAGUUUGCGGCUCAACCGUAAAAGUGCAGUUGAAACUGGCAGUCGUGAGGGCAGUAGAGGUGGGCGGAAUUCGUGGUGUAGCGGUGAAAUGCUUAGAUAUCACGAAGAACUCCGAUUGCGAAGGCAGCUCACUGGACUGCAACUGACGCUGAGGCUCGAAAGUGUGGGUAUCAAACAGGAUUAGAUACCCUAGUAGUC